UCCCGUCUCUUCUACCCGAACCCCCCCUCCCCCCCCCAGCAGAGAGACCCCAGCAGCAGCAGCAGCUGAUGAUGAAGAGAGAGGCAGUGGCAGAGGGGGGGCACCUUUUAUUUCUAUUUUUAAAGGGACAGGACACUAAUUUUACCCCACUUCAACCUUGAAUUGAGGGGGGUGGGGGGAAGGCGGCUGAGUUCCUUCCCCCACCCUCCAGCCCUGAGACCUGAGAGGGGGAUUGAGCCUGAGAGAGAAGAAGAAGGAGUUUCUUCUUCUUCGAAAACCCCCAUCCACGACUCCUACCCCCUCACCCCUCCACUAGCCUCCCUCCCGAGCCCCCUCCACCCUCCUCCUCUUUGGCCGUGAGAGGAGGAGAGAAAGAGACCAAAAGCCUCUUAGCAACACAGACCCUUCUCUGCUGCUGCUGCUGCUGCUACUGCUGCUGCUGCUUGGCCCUGGCUGGAGACAUCUCACUACACCCAGGAGCAGCCACUUCCCCAGCUCUCCUCCUCCUUCGCCUCCUCCUCCUCCACUCCCCCCCCUUUAUUACCCUUUGUGUCAUCCUCCACAGCUCCAGGGAAGGCACUCAAAAGUGGGGGGCAGGAAAGAUGCUUAUUGAGGAUGCCAGUUUCUGCAUAUGGGAAGUAGAUAUUGAAGGUUAUAUGGUUUACAGACAAGAUCUUUAAAAUAUAGAUACUCAAGGACCAAGGAAACAAAUAUCAGAAGCCAAGAGCACAGAAUACUUUCUUUCAUCAAUCCAUAGAACCCUGAUACUUCUCUAAUUCCAUCACACACAAAGGAAUGACCACCUUGGCAGAUGGCCACAAAGGAUGUCAACAAUUCUUUG